rnacentral:rRNA from 1 species
AGUGAACGCUGGCGGUAGGCCUAACACAUGCAAGUCGAACGGCAGCACAGUAAGAGCUUGCUCUUACGGGUGGCGAGUGGCGGACGGGUGAGGAAUACAUCGGAAUCUACUUUUUCGGGGGGGAUAACGUAGGGAAACUUACGCUAAUACCGCAUACGACAUAGGGGUGAAAGCAGGGGAUCUUCGGACCUUGCGCGAGUUAAUGAGCCGAUGUCGGAUUAGCUAGUUGGCGGGGUAAAGGCCCACCAAGGCGACGAUCCGUAGCUGGACUGAGAGGAUGAUCAGCCACCCUGGAACUGGGCCGCGGUCCAGAGUCCUACGAGAGGCAGCAGUCGGGAAUAUUGGACAACGGGCGCAAGUCUGAUACAGCCGUCCCGAGUGUGUGACGACGGCCUUCGGGUUGUGAAGCCCUUUUGUUGGGAAAGAACCGCAGCAGGUUAAUACGCCGCUAUUCUGACGGUACCCAAAGAAUAAGCACCGGCUAACUUCGUG